rnacentral:rRNA from 1 species
CAGCAGCCGCGGUAAUACGUAGGUGGCAAGCGUUGUCCGGAAUUAUUGGGCGUAAAGGACUCGCAGGCGGUUUCUUAAGUCUGAUGUGAAAGCCCCCGGCUCAACCGGGGAGGGUCAUUGGAAACUGGGAAACUUGAGUGCAGAAGAGGAGAGUGGAAUUCCACGUGUAGCGGUGAAAUGCGUAGAGAUGUGGAGGAACACCAGUGGCGAAGGCGACUCUCUGGUCUGUAACUGACGCUGAGGAGCGAAAGCGUGGGGAGCGAACAGGAUUAGAUACCCGUGUAGUCCCUGUCUCUUAUAA